rnacentral:lncRNA from 1 species
CUCAGGGGUCUGUCCUCUCCCCCCUGCUAUUCAACAUUUACAUGAAACCGCUGGGUGAGAUCAUCCGUAGUUAUGGGGUGAGUUACCAUCAAUACACUGAUGAUACUCAGCUGUACAUUUCCACCCCGCACCAAUUCAGUGAAGCGGUCGAUGUAAUGUGCCGGUGUCUGGAGGCUGUCAGGGUCUGGAUGGGCGUCAACAGGCUUAGACUCAACCCUGACAAGACGGAAUGGCUGUGGGUGUUACCUCCCAAGGACUCGGCCAUCUGUCCAUCCAUUACUUUGGGGGGGGGGGAAUUGUUGACCUCCUCAGAGAAGGUCUGUAACCUGGGUGUGCUCCUUGAUCCGCAGCUGACUUUGGAACAUCAUCUGUCGGCUGUGGCGAGGGGAGCAUUUGCCCAGGUUUGGUUAGUCCAUCAGUUACGGCCUUAUUUGGAUAGGGAGUCCCUCCUUACAGUUGCUCAUGCCCUCAUCACCUCGAGGAUCGACUACUGCAAUGCUCUCUACAUGGGGCUACCUUUGAAGAGUGUCCGGAGACUGCAGGUAGUCCAAAAUGCAGCCGCGCGAGCUAUCUCUGGCUUGCCUAGAUAUGCCAGUGUCUCUCCAACACUCCGCGAGCUGCAUUGGCUGCCGGUUAGUCUCCGUACCCAAUUCAAAGUGUUGGUUGUUACCUANAAAGCCCUACAUGGCUUAGGACCAGGUUACUUACGGGACCGUCUCCUGCCUCAUGUAUCCCAGCGGCCGGUCAGGAGCCACAGAGUUGGCCUUCUCCAGGUCCCGUCAGCCAAUCAAUGUCGGCUGGCGGGCCCCAGGGGAAGGGCCUUCUCUGUGGCAGCUCUGACCCUGUGGAACCAGCUUCCCCUAGAGAUCCGUACUGCCCCUACUCUCCUGGCCUUUCGGAAGAUUUUAAAAACACACCUUUGCCGGCAGGCCUGGGGUCACGGAAUUUGAUGCUCCACUUGAUUGGUAGGAUGACUGUGUAGUGUGAAUGUUAGUUAGGAAUGUAUGCUAGGUUUGGGGUUUUAGAUAGAUUUUAAAUUGUAAUUUUAGAUGGUUGCAAAUUGCAAUUUUAGAUGGGUUUUUAAAUUGGAUAGAGAUUGGAUUAUUUUAUCAUUAUCAUGUAUAUUUAUAUGUUGUAAGCCGCCCCGAGUCUUCGGAGAGGGGCGGCAUAUA